rnacentral:lncRNA from 1 species
CUUUUCAUUGUAAGCUUCACUGCAGUGCAUAUCCUCUCAUUAUAUCUUGCACCUGUUAGUUUUUACAUGACUAUAUCACCACAGGACUGAGGAUAUAUUUGCCCUAAAAUCAGAAAUGUUCUUCGUAUUUCCUCCUCAACCACCUGUUUCUCAGCUGCCGAGGUCUAAGUGGUGACAGGAUGGCAGUCUUUUGCAUUUUACAGUAGCACAUCUACCAGUGAGCACAAAUCAAACUGCAAAGAAAGGGGAUUGGAGCUGAGAUCCAGAAAACCAAAGAGGUUUUUGUAAAGGCAACAGAAAAACUGAGAAAGAUAAGUGAUAACUAUGGGCUGAGAAUUAUAGUGAAGAGUUAAAUCUGAUUUGAGUCUACAACAAGCUACAGGUAACAUGUAUAUGGCAAGGGUAAAAUACUAUUCUCUGUGGAAAUUAUGGAAACUUUUAAAGAAACAUACCCAAUAGAAAUAUUUCUCAUCAGGAAUAAUAUCAACACUAUACUUUUAUCUUUGAUCAUGGAUCAUUUCUCUUAUGAUCAGCCCCCACUGAUCCACAGUUGAAGGUCAUGUCCUUUUAUCAAGGCCUUUACCAUUAAUUGCAGAUUAUCCUGCAAUUCUUUGCUUCUAAAUUUGCAGUUUACCAUGAAUUGCAGAUUAUUUUACAAUUCUUUGUUUUCAAGUUUGCACCAGUUUGAAAAUAGAGUCUUAGCUAAUGUCUAAAGGGAUUUUCUUUCCUUCAACAUGCUUUAGAAAUCGCUGAUGAUUUGUUUUUCUUUACUCCAGAACUCUCCAUUUGGGUGGCCCUGUGGCUCUGUGUCUCUCUGUAUGCUCUUUGCUGGGAGCCCCUUUAGCUCUGGAAAUGCUAGCUGUAGCCUCUAUAAACUGCUGUUUCUCCAAUCUGCCUGCUAUCUUCUACUCAGCUGCCUCACAGCCCUAUGGUAAUGGGAAAGAUUUUCGCAGUUCCUGGCUAUUUUCAAGAAAAGAGGAGUAAUUUGCAGAUUAGUCUGUGAUAAAAAAAAAUAGUCUGCCUCACUGCAGAUACUCUGUGCUAAGGUUUUAAAGGUUGUGGUUAGAGACCUAUGGGUCCUGAAAUCUGCAAAGAAUAUGAAUCCCUGCUUGAAAAAUUUUUAAUGAGUGAUAACUGGGUUUUGACAUAUGACACACUUCUUAUUUUAGAUCAUGAUGAAAACAUCUUUGAAAUUACUCUUUUAUUUAUUUAAUGUAUAAGUUACUUUAAUGUAUAAACUAUUUAAGUAUCCAACUACUGGCAGAUAUUUGAGCUUUUACUCUUUAGAUUUUCAUGCUCACUGUUGUGGGUAUCUAUGUUGAAGUGAACCAUUGAAACAAUUGGAUAAGAAUUGUGAAUGAAAGGAGUUCCUGUCGUGGUGCAGUGAUUAAUGAACCCAACUAGUAUCCAUGAGGAUGCGGGUUCCAUCCCUGGCCUUUCUCAGUGGGUUGGGGAUCUGGUGUUGCUGUGAGCUGUGGAAUAGGUCACAGACACGGCUCAGAUCCUGUGUUGCUGUGGCUGUGGUAUAGGCUGGCAUCUGGAGCUCCAAUUCAACCCCUAGCCUGGGAACCUUCAUAUGCCUCGGGUGUGGCCCUAAAAAGACAAAAAAAAGAAAGAAAGAAAAAAAAAAAAAA